UGCCUGGAGUGAAGAUUCUGCCCAUUGGUCAAGAGACCUCCCUCUCAGAUGCUGGCUCUGCCCCUGCCUUUGGGGGUCGACCCUUGUACUCGCAGGACCUUAGGUGACUCUGACUUUGUCAAAGGAAAAAUUUCUGCAUGUGCACACACAGAUCUUGGAAGUUUAUUCAUCUCAGCAGAGGCAGACAGGAGCAUCAACAGCCUUGGGGACAGCAGCAGUGGUGGUGGAGUCUGACUCUGUCACCCAGGCUGAAGUGCAGUGGCACAAUCUUGGCUCACUGCAACCUCCGCCUCCCAGGUCCAAGCCAUUCUUGUGCCUUAGCCUCCUGAGUAGCUGGGAUUGCAGAAAACUUGGGAAGUAUCAAAAACUUCCAAAAAAUAUAAAGAAUCAGAAAAAGCGGCCGGAUGCAGUGGCUCACACCUGUAAUACCAGUACUUUGGAAGGCCAAGAUGGGUGGAUCACCUGAGGUCAAGAAUUCGAAAACAGCCUGGCCAACAUGGCAAAACCCCCAUCUGUACCAAAAAUACAAAAAUUAGCCUGGCGUUGCAGUGGGCACCUGUAAUCCCAGCUACUCAGGGAGGCUGAGGCAUGAGAAUUACUUGAACCCGGGAGGCGGAGGUUGCAGUGAGCCGAGAUCACACCACUGCACUCCAGCCAAGGUGACAGAGCAAGA
rnacentral:antisense_RNA from 1 species